UAAAAUGCGAGUUGAUGUGCGGGGGAGAGAAUGAGUGUUCUGGGGUCAAAGUGAGGCGAUCAGUAGCGGAGGUGGAAGGAGUCCCAGACGAGAGACAAGGGAUUGUAAAAGCCACGUGUGGAAUCGGAGCCCUUCCAGCAGCUUUCCUUCCCACUGCUCUCCAGGUGUUUUCCUUUGUUUUCUGGCUUUCUGGAAUGAACGCAGCUUUGGAGAGUUCGGAGUUUCCCUUACCUGUGCAGAGAUGUCAGGAUCUGGAGGCGCUCCCGUUUCCCUGGAGGAGGAUGUCCUGGAGAACGUCCUUAGCUGGGAUUUGGCUCCUGUGGAGCCUCCCAGGAUGAGCCGUGCUGGGCUCGGAUCCUGUGCUGGUCCUUGCACCACCCUCACUCCACGGACUGCGGGAGCUGCCGGGGUCUCUUUCUGUACCUGCCCAGCGGGGUCAGACCCGAUGGGCCCUCCAAGUGCAGGAUUUCUCUCUGAUCUCCCUCGAAGUGGAUUUACCUCUUGCUCUCGUUGAAAUCAAAGUCCUGUUUCAAAAGUAGAAUUGAUUUCUCAAGAAAAAUGUGCCACAAAAGCCAUUUUUUGUCCUUUGUUUCUCAAAUUUCUGCUCCUGGUUAUUUCUCUUGCAGCAAUAAUGAAUGUCACAGGAAUACAAAUGGGGAAGGGGAAUAAAUGGAAUGUGACUGCAAAUGCUGACUUUUGUAAAUUGGGCAGGAAGCAGUCAGUGUUCAAAAUGUUCGGGCCGCAGCAAUAGGAGCGGAGCCAGAGGAAAAGCCAGAAACUGCUGAGUUCAGUCCAGGGACACCUUCCACUCUUGCAGGCUGCUCCAAGGCCCAUGCAGCCUGGCCUUGGGCCCUUCCAGGGAUGGAGCAGGCACGAUUUCUCUGGGUUUAUGGGCACAGGAGGAAAUUCCCAGCAGGAACGAGACUUUUCCUUUGCUCUGCCCAGCCCCAGCAGGGCUUUGGGAGGCAGAGGACAUGGGAACAGGAGCUUUGGCCACUGCCUCGGGGGAGUCUCUGAUGUCCCAAAGGCCAGCAGAACAAACGUUUGUGGUUUGACAUCCCGUUCAAAGGAGAUGCCAGGCCAGGGACAGGAAGGAACCGCGGAGCAGGGAUGGCUCCAGGCAGAGGGGUGAGCGUGCAGAGGGUGCCACCAGCCCGUCCCUGCUGCCCAGCUUUGGGAUGAGCAGGCUGGUGACUGUCCCUGCGUUUGCUCUGCAGGAUGAGGAAGCCAACCCUGCCGAGGAGGAAGAUGAGGAGGUGUGGGAGGAUGGAGACAGCGGCCACCGAAGGCUGGGGGAGGCACAGCUCCAGGUAGGAGAUGUUGCCUUCCAAGGAGAGGGACUCGUCUGUCCCACUGGAAUUUGGGGCGCGAGGCCAGUGGAACAAAGCGUUUGGUUCCGUUUUCUUGCUCGGGUUCUGAUGUGCCUUAAGAGAGAUUUGUGGAAAGGUCAUUUUAGUGAGUUUGCACUGGCUUUGAAGGAAUGUGACCUCUGGGGCAGAAAUCCCUGCACAGCUUCUGAGUGCCCCCAUGGCUCAUCUGAACAGUUUGUGGGCUGGGCCUCCUUGUUUCCUCCUUUUCCAGGCCCCAGAUGGAGUCCUUCUUUUCCCAAGGGAGGGAAAAGCCAGAAGGAUGUGAACCAGAGGUGGUGCUUUAGGAAAAGCCCUCCAGCCUGGGAAGGUGCUUUUGGCUCCAGACACAUUCCCCAUGAGCAGCAGGACCUGUGCUGUCCCCAGCAGAAUCCUCUGAGGCUGAAACAAAGACAAGGAGCCUUUUGAGAUGGAAAGAGGCAGAGCCAGUUGUCCUGGGAAAGGAAAAUGAAAGAUGGUAAGUGCUAAAACCUUUGUUCCUCCCUUGUCCUGAGCCCUGUACUCAGGAAUGGGUCAGUGUGGGAAUUUCCUGGAGACACUGGUCUGCUGAGGAGAGGGAAAUCCCACUGGCAAUUUGCAGCCCCUGAGGGAGGGCAGGAAGAGCAGGGGCUGGGUCUGUGAGUGUGUGAGAAAUAAGGGAGGGACAAAUGGUGGAUCACCCCGUGCCUCAGGGCACCAGGAAAAGCCCGCGACUGAAAAACGGGAGCUUUGUUCUGUAGGGAGCCCCUGCACAGGCCCUGGGAAUUGGGCUCAUGCCGGCUUCCCUACCAGAGCUAGAGGAACCUCCCCCAGUGCUGUUUGAGACAUUCCUGACUGGAACUGGGGCCGGCUGGGCACUUUCCCGUUUGCUUUCCUGUAGGAUGUGGGCCAUGACAAGGGAAUUGGCUGCAGCAGGGCCCAAGAUCAGUGUGGGCUCUGUGGCAGGGGCAGCUCCCAGAGCCGGACAGGGAAAGGGGUCUUCACUCACACUCCCAAAAACCUGGGAAGGAAAAAACAGCUGCCUACAGCUUCUGGAGCUCUGGGCUUUCUGGCACACUCCGGGACAUGGGGGGAUAAUGCCAGAAUCGUUCAAAGCUUGGGAAUAAUGGACUUCCGAGCAUCCCUGGGGCCUGUUCUGGGCCGGCUCCUGCCCAUUGGCCACUGGUGCAGAUGGCCUUGGAAGUGAUGGAGGCGCUCAGGGAAUGCUGCUCGGUUUUCCCUGGCUUUGGCAAGAAAGUACUCAGUAAAAAUACCGAUUGACCUCUUCCAACAGGGAGCCAUUUAAGCGAGAGGCGCCGAAAAGAAUUGGAGUUUCUGAUUUUAAGUCUCUGACUCAAAUUCCCCUUUGGAUUGUCAUGGCUCCGAUUUUCACGGGCUGGUCACCUUGGCCGGGAGUGUCCAAUCCUGCUGAAAAUGCAUUGGACCGGGAUGUCAUUUCCAUCUUAUCCUGGUAAAGACUGGGUGACCCCCAGUCACUGGAAGGACUGGGCUGGGCUCCCAGGGCACUAAUUCCAGGUGUUCUGUUUUUAGGAGUAGCACGGGAGCCUUGCCCUUGCCCAGAGGAGCAGCCAGUGCCUCCCUUAGUCCACAAAUCCCCAGGAUGGAAGACAAAGGAGAUAACAGGAAUGUGGAAGUCCCCUACACUGGGAGUUCACGGUGCUCUGGAUUACAUUUUGGAUUUAUAAUGUUAAAGGGGGGAGUGUGGAGGGGUGUUUCUCUCUCUCCUGUUCAUUAUUGUACUCGCUGCUCUUGGUGCUCUCACCGUUCCUCUGUGUUGUCAUUAACAUUAAAUGAUUGUAUUUGAAUUGGUUUCCAUUAUUAAACUGUUCUG